GUGAGGAAUAUUGCGCAAUGGAGGCAACUCUGACGCAGCCAUGCCGCGUGCAGGAAGAAGGCGCUACGCGUUGUAAACUGCUUUUAACCGGGAAGAAACCCCAGGACGUGUCCUGGGUUGACGGUACCGGAGGAAUAAGCACCGGCUAACUUCGUGCCAGCAGCCGCGGUAAUACGAAGGGUGCAAGCGUUAUCCGGAUUCAUUGGGUUUAAAGGGUGCGUAGGCGGAGCGUUAAGUCAGUGGUGAAAUACUGCAGCUUAACUGUAGACUUGCCAUUGAUACUGGCGCUCUUGAGUGCGCUUGAAGUGGGCGGAAUGUGCCGUGUAGCGGUGAAAUGCUUAGAUAUGGCACAGAACACCAAUUGCGAAGGCAGCUCACUAAGGCGAUACUGACGCUGAGGCACGAAAGCGUGGGGAUCGAACAGGAUUAGAUACCCGAGUAGUCC
rnacentral:rRNA from 1 species